rnacentral:rRNA from 1 species
UACGAAGGGGGCAAGCGUUGUUCGGAAUUAUUGGGCGUAAAGGGAGCGUAGGCGGUUCGGCAAGUCUUUAGUGAAAUCUCUGGGCUCAACUCAGAGUCUGCUGGAGAAACUGCCGGGCUGGAGUAUGGGAGAGGUGAGUGGAAUUCCCGGUGUAGCGGUGAAAUGCGUAGAUAUCAGGAGGAACACCUGCGGUGUAGACGGCUUUCUGGACCAUUGCUGACGCUGAGACACGAAAGCGUGGGUAGCAAACAGG